GCGUUAGCAGUCCAUCGGGCCAAUAGAUGGCGCUGUUGCACUGUUGUAGCAGGAGAAACAGCAAGUUCUGGCCAAGCGCUCACCAUUCUGCAGAAUUAAGACCAACUUUACAGAGGUAAACUGUGUCUGUUCUUUUUACUAUUACAGCAGUUCAUCGUGGCCCUGUUGUUCGCCUCCUUCACCAAAGCUCUGUCAGGGACCUACAUGAACAGUGCCAUCACUCAGAGAGACACUUUGACCUGUCCAGCUCUCUCAUCGGACUCAUAGACGGCAGCUUUGAGAUGGGUAUCAACAAUAACAUUGAGUUGCUUGAGAAUUCAUGUAGUAAAAACCAGAUACAGACUACAGUAUGAUCGGUUUUUCUUGUGGUUCAAUCAGAGUCUGCUCUCAAUACUGUCCAGUUUUAUAGUUGUUCCUAUUAAUUGAUUGACUGGUGUUUGUCCAUGACUCUACUGUCAAACCGCUAACAUGGUUUUAUUUGAUAAUGUGUUGUUGCAACCUAGUAUCCAAACUUAUAUGCCAUUCUUAGUUGAAAAAAACAGUGUUUAUAAUUUGCGAUUCCUGACUACUGUAGUGUUGUUGUUUCUUGCAGGUAACCUGCUGUUCCUGGCUGUGGUCAGCCAUUUUGGGGCGAAGCUGCACCGGCCCAGGCUCAUUGCUAUGGUCUGUUUCCUCAUGGCUGUAGGAUCCUUCCUCACAGGCCUGCCACACUUCUUCAUGGGACGGGCUAUCAGGAGAGCUACCCAAUCCCAGAGGGCCAUCGUGGCUUCAUCAGUGAUGCCAGACUUCUGCAGAUGCAGAGAGCUGAGAGAGAGGCCAUGGAAGCAAAGCAAAGAAAGAUAAGUGCUAUCCAUGAGAAUUAUGUCCGGACUGCUCUCAUCGGGGUUGGCAGCACCUUCGCGCACCACUUCGUCCCCUCUAUUCAGUGCAUUCCGCGGCCGAAAGCUCCACCGAGGCCUUUGCCACGAAGGCUUGAACACAUAGCUCUGGCCCCACUGAAGAACGUGGUGGGAGUGGACGGAGCCCAAGUUCGACCUGGAUCUCACUCUCUGGAGUCCAUCCAGGUAAAUAAAUCAUUCAGCAGCAGUAGCGUGUGGCCUGUUCCCGUCCCUCCCACUGGAGCUCCCUCCAAGAGGGGCAAGAAGAAGAAGGGC